CUGCAGCCUGUGACACUGAAUGGUUCUCGGGAGGGGGAUGUGCUGUGUGUGCUCAUGCUCACAGGAUGUAGCCUCACCUCCUUCUUACCUUUGAUUCCCCCACCCCAUUUGACCCAGGUUAAAAAGGGGUUUCCUUUUUGUUACCUUGUAGCCUUUUAAAAUACCAUGGGGCAAGAGGUGACUGUGGGUUUAUUUGGGUUUUUCUGAUUUCAUUGCCCUAGGUUUGUUCUUUAUAAUGAUGUAUGUCAUCACCCUAUCCACCCUCCCAUCCCUGCCCUAGCCCCUUCAAUUACAGAGACACCCUAUAGACCCCGCCAAGGGUCCUCUCAGAGCCGAGUGCUCUGACACCAGAGGAGAGGUCAGCCGCCUCAUCCUCGGGUUAACUUUUAAUUUUAUGAAGUAUUGUGCACAACCUCCUUCACCUUUCCUCCUCGGAUCCAAGUGAUUCCUCCACCUAAACGCUGUCCUCCUGAAGGAACACUCCAGGUCAACGCCGGUCAUUUUGGAUCAGAAUCAAAGCUCUCGGAGGGAGCGAGUUCGUCCUCCUGGGCUGGCGAGGGUGGGUGCUGCUGGGCUCUCCGACUGCUGGGUCUCAGAACCCGGGAUCAUCGCUCAGCCGCUGGGCUCUCUGGGCCCUGGAGUUCAGAUGUCUUCUCGAUAAAGCCUGCCUCCCACUUGGUCAAAAGGAACAAGCAAGGACCCUUGCGCUUAAAUGGUUUUCUUCCUCUUGGAGAAACCCCAGAAGCUGAUGUGCCCUCCACCCACUUACUUCCUUUUGCCCUUUGCCCAGGCACCCUCACUUGUAGGCGAGCUUUCAGCGGGGGGCAGAUCUCCAGGUGCCUGGGGUGCUCCUGGCUGAGAUUCCUCCUUGGCUCCAGGGCUGCCCUGUAGGUAAUCUGACUCCCUGUGCCCGCGUUUGCCACCCGGAUGUAUGGCCAGCAGGGGGUGAUGCCUCCCACCUUGGAUGUGGUGCCCAAGCCUGAGGUCCUUUCUGAAUCACUUGAGGAUGUGACCACGUAAUCCAGUGCGGAGGCUUGAGGCUUCCUCAGGAGUGGCAUCCUGCGGCUUCCUUCAGGAUCUCUACCCACCUCUGAGCCUUGCUGUCCAGGCCUCAGAAUUGAGCUGUGUCAUUCUGUGGUGACAUCAGAGCUGUCUGGUCUGGCUCGCAGAGAAAACAGCCCUGUGCUGGGGGAGGUACAUUCCCUUAUCUUCUCAACCCCUCACCAGGAACUGGGGAUUUAGGAUGAGAUAUGGUAAAACACAGAUUCGAAGGAAGUUUGUGGAAGCAUUUUGAAUGAAUGGAUUGGUUUCCUAUGGUUCCUUCCAAACUUGGCCAAGCUCAGCCUCUGGAGCAGGAACCAUCACCGCCUCUGUGCCCUACCUGCAGCAUUUAGGUCAGGAAGGAAUGGAGACAGCAUUCUGGACUCCUCUGGAGCUGCUGGGACCCUUCUGGAAGAAGCAGAUGGGUCAAACAACUCCCCUGGCCCCAGGAAGGGGCCAUAGGGAACUAAACAUCAGCAGUAAGACCACAAAGGGACUUGAGCAAGGACUUGAAACCAAAUGGCACAUGGAGAGAACAAAACUGACUUAGGGAUUAUAUAGGAAUAAUGUUCGGACUUGAUUUCCCCAUCUUCUAAUCAAGAAUAGAAAUUUGGAUCUGCUCAUAGGCCCAGCAUCUCCAAAGGUGGGCAGGCUGUCUCCCAGCAGCCUCCGUAGCCUCGGGCUCCCACCGGCUCCCUGCAUUUGGUCUGAUCAUGUUGCCAUGCUGUGUAUGAAUCAUGUAAUAAUCCUAUCAGUGAGAGAUGAGCUACCAAGUAUCUGACUUAACAAUGA